AAAUUGAAGAGUUUGAUCAUGGCUCAGAUUGAACGCUGGCGGCAGGCCUAACACAUGCAAGUCGAACGGUAACAGGAAGCAGCUUGCUGCUUUGCUGACGAGUGGCGGACGGGUGAGUAAUGUCUGGGAAACUGCCUGAUGGAGGGGGAUAACUACUGGAAACGGUGGCUAAUACCGCAUAACGUCGCAAGACCAAAGAGGGGGACCUUCGGGCCUCUUGCCAUCAGAUGUGCCCAGAUGGGAUUAGCUUGUUGGUGAGGUAA
rnacentral:rRNA from 7 species